CUGUUUCGCUGACGAGUGGCGGACGGGUGAGUAAUGUCUGGGGAAACUAGCCUGAUGGAGGGGGGAUAACUACUGGAAACGGUAGCUAAUACCGCAUAACGUCGCAAGACCAAAGAGGGGGACCCUCGGGCCUCUUGCCCAUCGGAUGUGCCCCAGAUGGGAGUUAGACUUGUUGGUGGGGUAACGGCUCACCAAGGCGACGAUCCCUAGCUGGUCUGAGAGGAUGACCAGCCACACUGGAACUGAGACACGGUCCAGACUCCUACGGAGGCAGCAGUGGGGAAUAUUGCACAAUGGGCGCAAGCCUGAUGCAGCCAUGCCGCGUGUAUGAAGAAGGCCUUCGGGUUGUAAAGUACUUUCAGCGGGGAGGAAGGGAGUGAAGUUAAUACCUUUGCUCAUUGACGUUACCCGCAGAAGAAGCACCGGCUAACUCCGUG
rnacentral:rRNA from 1 species